rnacentral:sRNA from 1 species
AAAAUAAAAUACAACUACUAAGCAAGAGCACGUCGUACUGUAUAACAUUAAGUCCGUAACAAGUCUGCUCUGUGCAUGGGAAAACCAAUAGUUCUAAUGGGCCAGUUUGAGCCACCAGAAGGACGAUAGCUAAACUAGUAUCAAUUGAGAAGCUUUGUUAUAAUGUCUUAUUCGGAUCGAGGCGUUUUAAAAUGGAUGGUCAACUCAGAAACAUUCGAGUUAUUCUGACUCACACUGUUCUAUGUGCUCACAGUUAUUUAUAUACUCCAGGCUAGAUGGGCCUUACAACAGGGAGACACAGCAGAGGUCAAGGUGACACUCAAUCGAAUGAUGUUCUUGACGAUUCUCUAUCUCCUUUCCUCCAUUAAGAAUUUGUUUGAAGUCCUCAUGCCAUGCCCGUCCUAGUCACGCUACUAAGAGAGAAACAGCAGCUCUAUCAAUUUUUUUUAAACCCACUAGGCCAUAGUUUGGUUUCAGCUUGGACAGAGUAGUGUAUUUGUAUUUUCAGAAGAGUAACAUCAUUGGGAAACUGUAUGCCAUCAUAGAUUACAGGAAGAAAUGCCACGAAUAAAACAUGAACACAAAUUUA